rnacentral:rRNA from 1 species
CGUGCAGGCGGUCUGGUAAGUUAGGCGUGAAAGCUCCCGGCUCAACUGGGAGAGGUCGUCUAAUACUGUCAGACUAGAGAGCGGUAGAGGAAAAUGGAAUUCCCGGUGUAGUGGUGAAAUGCGUAGAUAUCGGGAGGAACACCAGUGGCGAAGGCGAUUUUCUGGACCGUUUCUGACGCUCAGACGCGAAAGCUAGGGUAGCAAACG